GCUUCCAUAGUUUAAUGGAUAAAAUCUCUGGUUUCGACCCAGAGGAUGUGGGUUCAAAUCCUACUGGAAGUA
rnacentral:tRNA from 1 species